UGGCAGCCUUAACUAUGGAUGUUCAAGCCAGACAUUGCCAGCAGAGCCACAUCUCAUCACCCACAGGCAAAAGGAAGAGAGUUUCCAUGCAGGCCGCGGUGAUUGAUCCUGAUUACCAAGAGGAAACUGGACUGCUGCUCCACAAUGGAGGUAAGGAAUACAGGAGACUCCUUAGGGUUUUCUUAGUAUCACGUGCCCUGUGAUUAACGUCAAUGGAAAACUACAAGAAACCAGUCCAGGCAGGACUACGAAUGGCUGUGACCCUUCAGGAAUGAAGGUCAGGUUCUACCACUGAAAUUGAAAAGGGUUUGCAAAGAACCACAACCAGCUGAGGUGCUUGCUGAGGCAAAGGGAAUAUGAAGUGGGUAAUGGAAGAAGGUAGUUAUAAAUACCAGCUAUGAAAGGGUGACUACCUGCAAAAACAUGGAGUGAUUGUUAUAUUUCUUCCUUAUUCAGGUAUGAAUAAGUUUGAGUACUUUUGUGUAUUUUGUACACUAGUUAAAUUUACAUAAGUUUAAAAAAGCAGUAAAAGAUUGAGUGAUAUGUA